GGGGAUGUAGCUCAGUGGUAGAGCGCUUGCCUAGCAAACACAAGGCCCUGGGUUCAGUCCCCAGCUCCG
rnacentral:tRNA from 1 species